rnacentral:rRNA from 1 species
GGGCCCGCACAAGCGGUGGAUUAUGUGGUUUAAUUCGAAGCAACGCGCAGAACCUUACCUAGGCUUGAAAUCCUGCGAACCCGACGUAAUUGUUGGGGUGCCCGCAAGGGAAUGCAGUGACAGGUGCUGCAUGGCUGUCGUCAGCUCGUGUUGUGAAAUGUUGGGUUAAGUCUCGCAACGAGCGCAACCCCUAUCUUUAGUUGCCAGCAUUAAGUUGGGCACUCUAUGGAAACUGCCCGUGAUAAGCGGGAGGAAGGUGUGGAUGACGUCAAGUCCUCAUGGCCCUUACGGGUUGGGCUACACACGUGCUACAAUGGUAGUGACAAUGGGUUAAUCCCAAAAAGCUAUCUCAGUUCGGAUUGUCGUCUGCAACUCGACGGCAUG